rnacentral:tRNA from 1 species
AAACAUUAAAUAGAUUACUAUAUUUAAGUACGGUUUAAAGAGAUUUAUGUUUU